rnacentral:ncRNA from 1 species
UUCUAAGGGGAGCCUAUAUUGAUGGGCUGAGAGUAGAAUGUUAUUCUAGACCCUCAUAACCUGACUUGGAUAAUGCCAACGUAGGAAAGGAAAUUUUA